AGCAGUGCCAUGCCUGGUGUUAUCCUCAGCUCCCUUUGAGGGUCUGCUGUUCCUGUUCCAGGCUGCUCUUCUGCCAGCAGCUUUUCCCUCCUGGCUUGCCAAAGACGACAAUUCCUCCAAAACUCAUCCUUUGAGUCAGCUUCACCAUAUGCCAAGUAAAAACAUCGUCUCCCGAAUUUGUUCUCCAGACGAAUCCUUGUUGCUUUACCUUGAUCCAGUGAAGCUAUUUCCCAAAGAAAUCUACUUCUUAGGAUUCACUUUGAACUUGAUGAGGGCCCUUGGUUCCUGAAUAUUCACUGAACUGUCCAUGGCCAGUGCUGUUCCUCUUGCUUUCAACCGUCUUCACCUCUUUGGUCUUCACUGGAUCACAAAAUGUGGGCUGUCCACUGAGGUAUGUCCCCAGCCCUUUUUAUUAUUAUUAUUAUUUUUAUUUUGAGACAGGGUCCUGCUAUGUUGCUGAGGCUGGCCUUGAACUUGUGAUCUUCCCGCCUCCGCCUCCUGAGUUGCGGGGAUUACAGGUAUUCACUACUGUACCGACUGGGUGAGCUCUUGUGUUAUGUUUGGUUUUUAAGAUGCUCCCUGGUGUAGAUCCCUCUCACACAUAAACAGUGUGGAGAUGUUAAGGAUGUCUUCAGUUGCCUUGUUUAGGGUAGGCAUUGUUUGGUCCUUAACCAAACCUCAGUGUAUGAGCCCAGCAACCACUCUGUUAUGCUACUCAUGGAGUCUGGGCAAGGGGAUUUCAGAAAGUAUACAGACAGUAGCAACAGGUUUGCUCUGCUCCAACAUGUUGGGGGACUCAGCUGGGAAGAUCCAAAUGUCUGUGAAUGACUCAAAGGUCUGGGAACUGGAAUCAUCUGGGGGAUUUUCGUU
rnacentral:lncRNA from 1 species